UCUUGCUGCCACCGGCGACGUCUGGUAUCCUCGCGGCCGUGCAUCCUGAGCUCGGCCUCCGUAGAUUCCACACGCCUGGUCGUCGCCUCAGGACUACCUGGUGCGCCGCCGCUGGCUGGCUUUCGGUCAGAGCCCUGCUCGCGGGACCUCUGGCACCGUCCCAUGGCUAGCAUCGCCGGCCCAUGGCUAGCCUAGCCGUCCUCGUGCAUUCCACCUGCAAGGUGCUCGAUGCUUUGCCCACAAGGAGGGAAACACAGAGUUUGCUACCGCCUGCCCUGUUCACUAGCAAGCCAGAUCAACUUCCAUGGAGUGGAGAGCCUGCAAUCGGGGGAGAUGGAGGCUGAAUUCAAUGCAACUAACCAAGGCCACUCAGCUUCCAAUCUAUGGUGGCAACGGCGAUCCGUGUUCUUGGUAGAAACUGCUUGGAGUGAUUCUUUGAGGAGAUGCAGACAAGGAGGAAAAGCCAACCCGGAGAAAUUAUUUCAUCUGAAUAAAGAAGUUUGUGGCUCUAUACUGAAGCCAACGUACAGGAUGAUGCUUGAUGGAAGUAUUGUAGCCUCCAGUAAUAAUCUGACGGUGGCUGAUGUUUUCAAGGGUUGAUGAAGGAGAAUUAUGUCUAGCAGAACUUCAUUAUUCGGUGAGAGUCUGAAGGCCUUGGAAGCUUUGCAACAAGAUUGUGCAACGAAUUCUCUAAUAACCACGAUCAAGAGAGGAUGGAUCUACCUUACCUGAAAAUUUAACAGCACUGGACUACGAACAGGGACAGAGUAGAUGCUGGUUCCAUUUUUCUUUUGGGACUCUGCAGGACUUUGACUUCUGACCUGGAAUAUACGUUUCUCAAGUGAUACGUGGCAGUAUAACUUGAAAUCUACAGGUUACAUAGAGAACAUGACAGCACAUGUGGCAGAUUUGGGCAUCGCAAGAUUUUGAGUAAUGACAACUACUUUAUCACUGCAAGCACGCCUGGAAAACUUGGGUACGUGGAACCAGGUACUGCCACUUGUAGGCCCUGUUUGGGACCGCGAGCGUGAUAAGCGCGAGUAGGAUAAGCGCAACUCGGCUCGCAGCCCGCUUAUGCGAUUCUGGGCCACGCAGUUCAGUCUUCGCGAUUUUCAGUUGCCGGCGGCCGGGCAACGCGCGUUUAACGCGAGCCUUUUGGCGGGUUUAUUCCGCUUAUUUGGCUCAGAAGCGAAGCCAACGCGGAAACAAACAGGGCCAUAAUUUGCUGAAAUAAAUCCUAUGCUGUUUUCUCUAGGACUACUUGGAUAUGGAUGUAUCAUCGUGAGCAGAGUAUGGAUCUCUCGGGAAGGCAUGGUCAAGAGCCAUGUGUUCAGUUAUGGAAUCAUGCUCCUAAAAGUCUUCACUGGAAUGAAAGAGAUUCACAGAUCCUAUAUAUGUUCCUUGGAGAGAUGAGCAUCAGGCUGUGGGUUUGUCAAGCAUUUCUAACUGAACUUCCCUCUGUUCUGGACAAGCAGCUACUGCAACUGCAAGAUGCUUAUCAAGUGACUCACCUGACGAAAGACAACCUGAUGAAGAGAAAAUAGGCAAGGCUGCACCAAAUGUUCUUUCUGCUGCUGCGAUAAAACGAUACAUCACCUUAUCUUUGAAUGCCAUAUGGCAAGGUUCAUUCGGAAUGCAGUCUAUAUCACUUUUGGUAUUCAACCACAUUCUUUUUUUAGAUAAUGGAUUGAAAAUCCGGCUUCAUCAACCUAAUGGUAGAAUUAGACUGAUAUUACAACGUUCAACAUCUAGCACAAAUCAAAGAGAGCUGUAGGAACAAAGUCACAGCACUUAAGGUCUCAAACAACCGAAAUAGAGUUUAUGACUACGCAGCACCAACUCUCCUAAGAGAGAGCCAGCCAUUGGAGUGAAAGAAGUGCAAUGCCGAAGAUUCAAGAUGACCGGCUGCUUGCACAAGUUCUUCACAACGGUCCUCAUGACGCUGAACCUUUGCCCACAUUCUGGUGUAUCAAAUCUGUUUGGUUCUUGGCUUGGAAGUUUUUCUUCGAAGUUUGGUUGAGUAGAAAUGAUGUAGCGUUCAAAAAGACCAAACCUAACUCUUUUUUGCAGGUCACUUUCAGAUGGACGUACCGGACAAGGUGCUGGUCACUACUCUCUAAAGAGGAAGAGGAGAAUGCCCGAAAGAAAAACUAUCGUCUUUUGGAGAUCACAGUGAUGGAGAUUCUAAGCAAGUUUGGAUGGAAGUUCAGCAACAGAAUUGAAGCUUGAGUCCUUGCUUUUAUCUUUCUGUUCUGCUGUCUGUUUUCUAUGGCCGUAUGACAACUUGGGCCUGAGUACAUGUUUUGUGUGGACUCCAGUGGCUGUAAGCAUCCACUUGUGCUUCGAUUCCAGCCAAGGUGAUGGCAGCGGCGGUUGCAAGCGGAUGUGCCGGAGCGGGAGGUGCCGAUUCAGGCAAAAUCAGGGGCCAUAUGCAAAUAUUUAGACCACGAUUAAUAAUCGCGAUCCAAACUAGGGGGCUCCUAAAGGACAUUCUUCGUUACGAAAGCGCUAGCUAGUCUUUAGUGCUGUAGGAAUGAACAGCAGUUUCACUAGUCUAAUUCCUCAAGCUUGACCUGGCAGCUCCUCAUCAGUUUUUGUUAUGGGUCUUUAUUUGCGAUUUUGGGCUGUUUCACUGUCUCAGUGCUCUGCCUCAACGUAUAUCUGGAGCUACUCCCUGCACUCCGGAGCGCCUGCCCUAUCCUAGGCAUCAACACCUGAUGGGCUGGGAGGCUGUUUCCUAUGGUCGUCUCAAACAUGAGUAGUCACUAAAUAGGUGGCCAUGGUGGCCACGUCUGUUUCUUGCUCUAGGAGGGUUG